GACGAACGCUGGCGGCGCGCCUAACACAUGCAAGUCGAACGAGCGAGCGGGAGCUUGCUUUCUCGAGCGAGUGGCGAACGGGUGAGUAACGCGUGAGGAACCUGCCUCAAAGAGGGGGACAACAGUUGGAAACGACUGCUAAUACCGCAUAAGCCCACGGUGCCGCAUGGCACAGAGGGAAAAGGAGCAAUCCGCUUUGAGAUGGCCUCGCGUCCGAUUAGCUAGUUGGUGAGGUAAUGGCCCACCAAGGCGACGAUCGGUAGCCGGACUGAGAGGUUGAAAGGCAAAAUUGGGAAUGGGAAAGGGCCCAGACCCCUAGGGGGGGGAGAAGGGGGGAAAAUGGAAAAAUGGGGGAAACCCUGAGGCAGGGGGGCGGGGGGGAGGAAGAAGGUCUUGGGAUUGAAAACCCCUGUUGUUGGGGAAGAAAAGAAGGGAACCAAAAAAGAAAGGAACGGUUAACUACGG
rnacentral:rRNA from 1 species